rnacentral:rRNA from 1 species
UACGUAGGGUGCGAGCGUUGUCCGGAAUUAUUGGGCGUAAAGAGCUUGUAGGCGGUUUGUCGCGUCUGCCGUGAAACCUCCAGGCUCAACCUGGAGACGCCACCUGAUACUGCUGUGACUCGAGUCCGGUAGGGGAGCGUGGAAUUCCUGGUGUAGCGGUGAAAUGCGCAGAUAUCAGGAGGAACACCAGCGGCGAAGGCGGCGCUCUGGGCCGGAACUGACGCUGAGGAGCGAAAGCGUGGGGAGCAAACAGG